CAUCGUCAGCUCAUUUUGUAUAUGUUUGANGUUAUGAUGCGAGUUACUCUNUGUAGUAUUGCUUGCACGUACUUUUACAUUUAUUUGCAAGAUGUUGUCGGCGUGCACUUCUCCCCUAGUAGAACGUCGCGACCCGUUGGGUGUCGGUCUACGACCCGAGUGGUAGACUUUAAUAUUUUNAUAAUAUUAAAGACCCUUGGUGUUUUCUGACCGGCUGCCCGGCGGUACUCGUACGGUAUUUAGCCGCAUUUUU
rnacentral:rRNA from 1 species